CCACUUCCGGGGCGACCGCGAGUGAGGCGGAAGUGCGGUCUCCUCGGGGCAGCUGGCUCUGGGCCGGCAGAGGGAGGCUCCCGAGGCGGGGGCCGGCCGGGAUGGCGGCGGCGGCGGCGGCCGGGGCUGGGCCCGGGGCGGCCCAGGAGAAGCAGUUCCCGCCGGCGCUGCUGAGCUUCUUCAUCUACAACCCGCGCUUCGGGCCGCGCGAGGGCGAGGAGGAAAAUAAAAUUUUGUUUUACCAUCCAAAUGAAGUAGAAAAGAAUGAGAAAAUUAGAAAUGUUGGAUUAUGUGAAGCUAUUGUACAGUUUACAAGGACCUUUAGUCCAUCAAAACCUGCAAAGUCUUUACAUACACAGAAGAAUAGACAGUUCUUCAAUGAACCAGAAGAGAAUUUCUGGAUGGUCAUGGUUGUUCGGAAUCCUAUAAUUGAAAAGCAAAGUAAAGAUGGAAAACCAGUUGUCGAAUACCAAGAGGAGGAGUUGUUGGACAAGGUUUAUAGCUCAGUGUUACGACAGUGCUACAGUAUGUACAAGCUUUUUAAUGGGACAUUUCUGAGAGCCAUGGAAGAUGGAGGUGUCAAGCUCCUAAAAGAAAGAUUAGAGAAAUUCUUCCAUCGGUACUUGCAAACGUUGCAUUUGCAGUCAUGUGAUCUCCUUGACAUUUUUGGUGGAAUCAGCUUCUUCCCAUUGGAUAAAAUGACUUAUUUGAAAAUCCAGUCCUUUAUUAAUAGAAUGGAGGAAAGCCUGAGUAUAGUCAAAUACACUGCCUUUCUCUAUAACGAUCAACUAAUCUGGAGUGGGUUAGAACAAGAUGACAUGAGAAUUUUAUACAAAUACCUCACCACGUCUCUGUUUCCAAGGCAUAUCGAACCUGAGUUGGCGGGAAGGGAUUCUCCAGUAAGGGCGGAGAUGCCAGGAAAUCUUCAGCAUUAUGGAAGAUUUCUUACUGGACCCUUGAACCUUAACGAUCCAGAAGCAAAAUGCAGAUUCCCCAAAAUUUUUGUAAAUACGGAUGACACUUACGAAGCACUGCAUUUAAUUGUUUAUAAGGCCAUGAGUGCAGCUGUGUGCUUUAUGAUUGAUGCCUCUGUACAGCCCACGUUGGAUUUUUGCCGAAGACUGGACAGCGUUGUUGGGCCCCAGCUCACAGUGCUGGCAUCUGACAUUUGUGAGCAGUUUAACAUCAACAAAAGAAUGUCUGGGUCUGAAAAAGAACCCCAGUUUAAGUUUAUCUACUUCAACCAUAUGAAUUUAGCUGAGAAAAGUACAAUUCACAUGAGGAAAACACCUAGUGUGUCACUUACAUCCGUGCAUCCGGAUUUAAUGAAGAUUCUGGGUGACAUCAACAGUGAUUUUACUAGAGUGGAUGAGGACGAAGAAGUCAUUGUGAAGGCAAUGAGCGAUUACUGGGUUGUCGGGAAGAAGUCUGACCAGCGGGAGCUGUAUGUUAUUCUGAAUCAAAAAAACGCAAACCUGAUUGAAGUCAAUGGUAAAUAGGCUUUGGUACUUGAGCAGAACGUGAGUGCUGUCCAUUCAGUGUGCCGGGAAACCUGCUAGAGAAAGAGGUAAAGAAACUUUGUGCAACGCAGUUCAAUAACAUAUUCUUCUUGGAUUGACCCGUAAUGACUCGCCGAAACAUCUUUUAAAAAACAGCUCAGCAGGCAUUUUGUUUACCGCUGCAGGUUCUCGGUCAUAUUAUUGACUGAAUUAAUGACAAUAGUAAAGCAAUACUUGCUUUGAAGAAUCAAAUUUCUACUCAGUCCGAUGAUCCGCUGGGGUUUUUAGAUUUUAAAUAUUUAUGUGGAAAUAAUUAAAGGUAGUCGGCUACAUCUCUUUCAUUCAAUUCUUUUGACAUUAUGUGAAUAUUUUAUUGGAAAAUAAGACAAAUAAAUUGUUAAGGUUUUUAAAA